rnacentral:rRNA from 1 species
UCCUCCAAGGCUAAAUACUCCUGACUGACCGAUAGUGAACCAGUACCGUGAGGGAAAGGCGAAAAGAACCCCGGCGAGGGGAGUGAAAAAGAACCUGAAACCGUGUACGUACAAGCAGUGGGAGCACCCUUUGGGGUGUGACUGCGUACCUUUUGUAUAAUGGGUCAGCGACUUAUAUUCUGUAGCAAGGUUAACCGAAUAGGGGAGCCGCAGGGAAACCGAGUCUUAAUUGGGCGUUAAGUUGCAGGGUAUAGACCCGAAACCCGGUGAUCUAGCCAUGGGCAGGUUGAAGGUUGGGUAACACUAACUGGAGGACCGAACCGACUAAUGUUGAAAAAUUAGCGGAUGACCUGUGGCUGGGGGUGAAAGGCCAAUCAAACCGGGAGAUAGCUGGUUCUCCCCGAAAGCUAUUUAGGUAGCGCCUCGUGAAUUCAUCUCCGGGGGUAGAGCACUGUUUCGGCUAGGGGGCCAUCCCGGCUUACCAACCCGAUGCAAACUGCGAAUACCGGAGAAUGUUAUCACGGGAGACACACGGCGGGUGCUAACGUCCGUCGUGAAGAGGGAAACAACCCAGACCGCCAGCUAAGGUCCCAAAGUCAUGGUUAAGUGGGAAACGAUGUGGGAAGGCCCAGACAGCCAGGAUGUUGGCUUAGAAGCAGCCAUCAUUUAAAGAAAGCGUAAUAGCUCACUGGUCGAGUCGGCCUGCGCGGAAGAUGUAACGGGGCUAAACCAUGCACCGAAGCUGCGGCAGCGACGCUGUGCGUUGUUGGGUAGGGGAGCGUUCUGUAAGCCUGCGAAGGUGGCCUGUGAGGGUUGCUGGAGGUAUCAGAAGUGCGAAUGCUGACAUAAGUAACGAUAAAGCGGGUGAAAAGCCCGCUCGCCGGAAGACCAAGGGUUCCUGUCCAACGUUAAUCGGGGCAGGGUGAGUCGACCCCUAAGGC